UACGUAGGGUGCAAGCGUUGUCCGGAAUUAUUGGGCGUAAAGAGCUCGUAGGCGGUUUGUCGCGUCGGCUGUGAAAACCUGAGGCUCAACCUCGGGCCUGCAGUCGAUACGGGCAAACUAGAGUUCGGUAGGGGAGACUGGAAUUCCUGGUGUAGCGGUGGAAUGCGCAGAUAUCAGGAGGAACACCAAUGGCGAAGGCAGGUCUCUGGGCCGAUACUGACGCUGAGGAGCGAAAGCGUGGGGAGCGAACAGG
rnacentral:rRNA from 1 species